rnacentral:ncRNA from 21 species
CUAGGGUGCGCGCGCUCCGGUUCGGGUGGCCCGGGUACCCGGCGUCGCCCGAUCAAGAGGGAACGCGGUGCGGGCCGGCCAACGGCCCAAAUCCGCGGCUGCCCCCGCAACUGUGAGCGGCGAGCGAUGCCGGCACAUGCCACUGGGACCGGGCCGCAAGGCCACCCGGGAAGGCCCGGCAGAGCGACGACCCGCGAGCCAGGAGACCUGCCGGAGCGAUCACCCUGACC